AUAGAGUAUGAAACUGAGGCCCAGGGUGAUUUUAAUGACACAGGGUCACACAGUAGUAUGCAUUGGAGGUAGAAACCAUGUCCUUUACCACUAGAGUCCUUCCCCUAUAAUGAGCUGCUUUGUACUUAUGAGGUCAUGGUUGAUAUCAUACAGAGACUAGAUUGGGGUGGGGUUGGGACAAGAGCCUGGCAGAAGAGGGUUAGAGGCUGGGUUUAGGAAUGCAGCUUUGGGACUCCAUCUAGGCUUGAGGGGCAAAAAAGAGAAAUUCCUUUAACGAAGAAUGAGCUUGGAGAAAUUGUAUCUUUUCCCUUGAGCCCCAUUAUAUCUGUGACUGUAUUCCGUGGAGCCUUCUGAAGACAUCAAGCAUCUGAUGGACCUCCAAUCGCCAUUCAGCAAAAAGGGAUUAAUGGCAGAGCAAACAAGUCAGGGGACAGGAGAGCCCCCUAACGUCAAUAAAAGUAAUCUACAAGAUCACGUGGAAAAAAUAAUGCUGCAAUACCAUGAAGAGGUCCAAAUCAGAGAUGAAAUUGAGGAGCAACUGUGCCUCAAAAUCAAAGAGUUGGAGGAGAAAGUGAAAGCACAGGAUACCCAGCUGAUGAUGGCCAGAACACAAUGGCUCCAGGUGCUGGCUAUAUUCAAAAAGCUGCAAAAGGAGCUUCAGGAAGAUGCUCGGAUCAGAGCGGAGGAGAGGAAACGUGAACAGAGGUAUGAAAACCUGUUUCAUGAAAUCCAAGUCAUCAGUACCCAGACCUGGAAACCUCAAGUCUCUAGAUUAGAGGACCAAUCCAAAGGGAACAAUAUUGUUGAACCCAGUCUCAGGCUCCUCUGUCCACUCCCUGAGGGACUCUCUCCCAGAUCUAACCUGAUUCCCAGGAACCUAGGGCUGCACUCUGGAGAGCAUGCUUCCUCAGCUCCUGUUCCACCCACUGGCCUCAUAAGACUGUACUCCCAAGGGUUGGUCCCAUGGAAUGCAGGCCCACCUGUGACCGCCAUGAUCAAGAAGAAGACCAAGGCCCUUCAGGCCAUUGCCCCGACACGGAGUAGUGACACACUGUUGAGCAGUGGUGGAGGAGAAGCAAUGGUUUGGAUAUCGCAACAGAAGACACCAUUACUACUGGGCAAGACACCAGCUGAAGCAGGAAGCUCUGGCCUUGGGAUAAGACUUGGGCACCCAAAUCUUCCACCACCAGAAGCUGUUCAAGAAAUAACGCAUUAAAUAACUAAACAGACAAAUAAAGAUUCAACUACAUGAAAGGACA
rnacentral:lncRNA from 1 species